CUGGGCGUAAAGAGCGUUGAGGCGGUUCCGUAAGUUGGGCGUGAAAGCUCCGGGCUUAACUCGGAGAUGUCGUUCCAAUACUGCGGGGCUUGAGACAGCAGAGGAAGGUGGAAUCCCGGUGUAGUGGUGAAAUGCGUAGAUAUUCGGGAGGAACACCCGUGGNCGAAGGCGGCCUUCUGGGCUGUUCCUGACGCUGAAGGCGAAGCUAGGGGACGACGGGAUAAUCCCCGGUAGUCCUAGCUGUAAACGGAUGGAUGCUGGGUUUGGGGGGUGUAAAUUCCGCUCUGUGCCGAACAAACGCGUUAAGCAUCCGCUGGGGACUACGGCCGCAAGGCUAAAACUUCCAAACCGAAAUUGAACGGGGGCCCGCACAAGCAGCGGAGCGUGUGGUUUAAUUCGAUGCUACAACGAAGAACCCUACCCUGGGUUUGACAUGCACGUGGUAGGGAACCCGGAAAAGGGGACCGACCUUCGGGAGCGGUGCACAGUGCUGCAUGGCUGUCGUCAGCUCGUGCCGUGAGGUGUCGGGUUAAGUCCCGUAACGAG
rnacentral:rRNA from 1 species